UAGUCCUUUACAGAUACUUAAAGAAUGUUCUCCACUAAAGGAAACCACAAGUGAACAGGUGCUCCACCAUCACCGCUCCUCGUUUUCAUCUCCUUUUAACUACAACCCUUCUCAAAACAGCAGCAUGUCCUUCUCCGGCAGAUCCUAUGGAAACAGGACUCAAAGCAUGUACGGAGGAGCUGGGGGUCAGGGAACCCGUAUCUCAACUACCCAGCAAGGGUCGCCCUACGCGUCUCUACGGGGCUUCAAUCUCGCCGAUGGCCUCGAUCUUCACACUUCAAGAAAUGAGAAGGCCACCAUGCAGAACCUGAACGACCGUCUGGCUUCUUAUAUGCAGAAUGUGCAAUCUCUGGAGAAGAGAAACGCUGAGCUGGAGCAGAAGAUCAGGGACUGGUAUGAAAGUCAUUCUGUGGUCUUCCGUGAUCACAGUGACUUCUUGGAAAAGGUCAAGGAUUUGAGAGACCAGAUUGAGUACCUCUCUAUGUGCAAUACCAAGACCGUACUGGACAUCGACAACUCCAAACUGGUGGCUGAAGAUUUCAGAAUCAAGUAUGAAACAGAGCGGAACCUGCGUACCGCAGUGGAGGCGGACACCACCUGCAUCAGGUCGGUUCUAGAUCAAAUGGUUUUUACCCGAUCAGAUUUGGAGCAGAAGUAUGAGGACCUGAAAGAGGAACUGGCCAUGCUUGAGAAAAACCAUGAAGAGGAGAUGGCUCUGGCUCGUGAGCAGACUUCACAGGUGAACGUGUCUGUGGAUGCAGCGCCCUCUGCGGAUCUGAACGAGGCUUUGACAGAGGUCAGACAGUACUAUGAGAACGUGACUGCCAGAAACCGCAGUGACCUGGAGAACUGGUACCAAAACAAGAUUUCCACAAUGGAGGAGCAACAUGACACACACAACGAAGAGCUGCAGAACACCAAAGAGGAACUUAAAGAGCUAAAGAGCACCUUCCAGAGGCUACAGAUUGAACUGCAGACCCACCACAAUAUGAGAACAUCUAAUGAGGAAACAUUACGAGACACUGAGGAUCAGUUUACUGAGCAGCUGUCAAAGCUGCAGAAGACCAUUGAUAGCCUGGAGCUCCAACUCAAAAAUAUCCACACUGAGAUGGCCAAUAACAAACUGGACUAUGACAUCCUGCUCAACCUUAAAAGCCAUCUGGAGACUGAGAUCACAGAGUACAGGCUGCUGCUGGAGGCAGAAGACAGCAGGUCUCGCUGCUGGGUGGUGGUGUGGGGUAACUAAAAGCUAAGCUAAGUAAACAAAACUGUAAUUCUUAAAAAAAAAACAUUUUUUUAAAGCGCUGGAUGUUAAUAUACACAGAUUUCUCUUCUGAAAACUCUUUAUUUGGCACUUUCGUUUAUUUUCAGUAACCAUAGAUUUCCAGAUUUCCACUAAGCAUUAACGGCUAACUGCUAACACUAACGGGCCAUAAAAGCAGCCCAACAGAGCUACACUGAGGAACCCUGAAUGUUCCAAUAAGCCAGGAGGAUAUUAGCUAGCUAUUCAUCGCACACAGCUUGUUUUAACACAGUAAACACACAGGCUGCAGUCCAAUAGACCUAGCGCUGCGGUUAGCAGCUAAUGCUAAUACUGCUCCAGCCUGUGUGCUGGAGAACUAAACUGAAACUUCACACAACCAUCACACAGAAUGUAGUAUGUAUUUAUCUCUUUAUAUAUACCCUUAAUCUUUUAAUAUGUUUGUUACAUUUGUUGUUUUCUAUUUGGGUAAUUUUUGUUUUCUCUCUUUUUCUAUAUUUUACAGCGAGCCUCAGGUUGUUCACAAAACGAAUCAAGAGGAAGAGCCACCUGUGGAUGACAAAGUCGUGGAACCCAGCGAAACAGAAACUACGGAAGACUGACA